rnacentral:rRNA from 1 species
UGGGGAAUCUUGCGCAAUGGGCGAAAGCCUGACGCAGCGACGCCGCGUGGGUGAUGAAGGCCUUCGGGUUGUAAAGCCCUGUGGGGAGGGACGAAUAAGGGCCGGCCAAUACCCGGCUCGAUGACGGUACCUCCUUAGCAAGCACCGGCUAACUCUGUGCCAGCAGCCGCGGUAAGACAGAGGGUGCAAACGUUGUUCGGAAUUACUGGGCGUAAAGCGCGUGUAGGCGGUCCGGCAAGUCGGAUGUGAAAGCCCUCGGCUCAACCGAGGAAGUGCACUCGAAACUGCCGGACUGGAGUCCCGGAGAGGAUGGUGGAAUUCUCGGUGUAGAGGUGAAAUUCGUAGAUAUCGAGAGGAACACCGGUGGCGAAGGCGGCCAUCUGGACGGUGACUGACGCUGAGACGCGAAAGCGUGGGGAGCAAACAG